GAUCAUUAACGAGUUAGGGUCUUCUCAGGCCCGACCUCCCAACCCUUUGUUUACCCGACCCAUGUUGCUUCGGCGGGCCCGCCGUUUCGACGGCCGCCGGAGGACCGCCUAUUCAGGUCCUCUGGCCCGCGCCCGCCGGUAGCCAAUUCUACCAAACUCUUGAAUCAAAUCGUGUCCAAUGUCUGAGUAUAUUACAAAAUAAAAGCAAAACUUUCAACAACGGAUCUCUUGGUUCUGGCAUCGAUGAAGAACGCAGCGAAAUGCGAUAAGUAAUGCGAAUUGCAGAAUUCCAGUGAGUCAUCGAAUCUUUGAACGCACAUUGCGCCCUUUGGUAUUCCGAAGGGCAUGCCUGUUCGAGCGUCAUUAUCACCCCUCAAGCCCCCCGGCUUGGUGUUGGACGGUCUGGUCGAGCGUUUCCGCGCGACCCCUCCCAAAGACAAUGACGGCGGCCUGGUUGGACCCCCGGUACACGGAGCUUCUUCACUGAGCACGUAUCGGUUUCAAGGUGUCCCCGGGACCCGGUCG
rnacentral:misc_RNA from 1 species